GGCUAGUAUAUAAAGAGACUAUUAUAGAAUAUAAAAGGCUGUAUAUUAAACCAUUAGUACCGUAAAAAUGAUGGAGUAAUUUCCAUUUAUUAGGGAAAAUGGUAGAAGAAUUUCUAUAAAAAAAACGAAGUGAAUUGAAGUAUCUUAUUAGCUUCAGGAAAAUAAAUCAAACGAGAUUCUAUUAGUAGUGUGAAUGAAAAUAGAUAUAGGCUUAAAGUAAAAUGGAUUAAUCUGUUUGAAUAUAGGGGAACCUUCCUCUAAGCCUUAAUAUAAUAUACAAGAAAUAGCGAAUAGUACUGUGAAGGAAGUAUGUAAAAUAGUAGUCUUAUAAGCAGCUCAAGGUAAGUUUAAUAAACAUAUGAGAGCGUACCUUUUGUAUAAUGGGUCAGCAAGUUCUAGUUAGAUGCAAGCAAGUAGUGAUUCGUGGGGAUAUAUUAAAUUAGAAUAGAUAUCAACAAGAUAGACAAUCUAAUAAUAUAAAUACACAAAAAAAAAUCAAUUUGCCUAGAUAAUCCAAUUAUUAAGUAAUGAAUUAGUAUCUAAUUAGAGACCCGAAGAGUAGUGAUCUUACCAUGGUCAGGCUUAUAAAAGGCCGAAUGGGUUAUCGUUGUAAAGAUAUCCAAAGAACUGUGGUAAGUUAGUGAAAGACAAUCCUGACUACUAUAGCUGGUUUUCCGCGAAACAUAUGUAAGUAUGUAGUUUAAAUAACAUCAUAGCAGGUACAGAACUGUGAUCUCGGACAAUUUGUGCAUUAAUAUCCUAUUAGGGUAUAUAAUGCCUUGUGCAUAUGGGGGGGUCGUGAAGACUCUAUUCGCGAGUAUUUGCUCUCGGAAGGGCAAUGAUGAGUGUUGAACUAUCAGACAUUUAACGAUAAGGUUGUAUGUCAAAAGGGAAACAGCCCAGAACAAGUGUUUAAGGUUCCAAAGUUUUUGUUAAGUGAAAGUAAGGAAGUAUUUAAACUAUACAACCAGGAAAUAGGCUUAGAAGCGGCCAUUUUUUAAAGACCUCGUAACAGAGCACUGGUUCAAACGGUUAAUUAGUUAACCUUAUAAGUUAAAAGCGCCGAAGAUAUAACGGAUCUAAAACAAAACACCGACACCUUGUCCAUAAUAAUAAUAUUAGGUUAAAUCCUAUUUUAAUAUACUUAAAGGUUAUUUAAGUAUUGUUUAUGGGGUAGCGGAACAUUGGGUAAAUAGGAUGUUGUUUAACUUAAAUAACUGUUUGGACCCCCUCUCUCUGAGAGAGAGGGGGGGGCCUAGAAAAAAGAAAUAACAAAAAAAAAUAAAAGAGAUAGAGGAAUACAUGAAGCCUCAACGACUAGUAGAUGAGUACUUUAUUUACAAUAAUUCUACCACGAACACCCUGCGUUUAUAAUAACAUAACUAAAUAGUUUAUUAUAAAUGAAGACAUAGUCUGAACCAUUUCGAUAAGGAAUGGAAAUAAGAGAUAAAGAGCUCUUAUGAUAACAAAAUUGUCCACGGAUUACAUUCAUCUUCCUGUUGGGACAGGAAAAGUAGUGUAAAAAAAUGUAUUAGUUCU
rnacentral:rRNA from 1 species